GGGUGGAUAGCUCAGCCGGCAGAGCACCGCCCUUACAAGGCGGGGGUCGGGGGUUCAAAUCCCUCUCCACCCACCA
rnacentral:tRNA from 1 species